AACGAACGCUGGCGGCAUGCCUAACACAUGCAAGUCGAACGAGCCCUUCGGGUCUUGUGGCGCACGGGUGUGUCACGCGUGGGAACCUGCCCUUAGGUUUGGCAUACCUCUCCGACUGGGGUGCUAAUACCGGACAAUGUCUUCGGCCCAAUGAUUUAUCGCCCUUGGUUGGGCACGCGUUGGAUUAGCUGGUUAGUAGGGUAAUAGCUUACCACGGCGCCGAUCCAUAGCUGGUAUGUGAGGAUGGUCAGCCACACUGGGAGUGAGACACGGCCCAGACUCCUACGGAAGGCAGCAGUGGGGAAUGUUGGACAGUGGGCAAAGGGCUGAUCGAGCUAUGCCGCGAGAGUGAUGAAAGCCGUGAGGUUGUAAAGCGCAUGUACCCGGGAUGAUAAUGACGGUACCGGGAGAGUAAGCUCCGGCUAACUCCGUG
rnacentral:rRNA from 1 species